rnacentral:rRNA from 1 species
GACGUAGGGUGCAAGCGUUGUCCGGAUUUAUUGGGCGUAAAGAGCUCGUAGGCGGUUUGUUGCGUCGACUGUGAAAACCCGCGGCUUAACCGCGGGCUUGCAGUUGAUACGGGCAGGCUAGAGUUCGGUAGGGGAGACUGGAAUUCCUGGUGUAGCGGUGAAAUGCGCAGAUAUCAGGAGGAACACCGGUGGCGAAGGCGGGUCUCUGGGCCGAUACUGACGCUGAGGAGCGAAAGCGUGGGGAGCGAACAGG